rnacentral:rRNA from 1 species
GACGAACGUUGGCGGCGUGCUUAACACAUGCAAGUCGAACGGAAAGGCCCUGCUUUUGUGGGGUGCUCGAGUGGCGAACGGGUGAGUAACACGUGAGUAACCUGCCCUUGACUUUGGGAUAACUUCAGGAAACUGGGGCUAAUACCGGAUAGGAGCUCCUGCUGCAUGGUGGGGGUUGGAAAGUUUCGGCGGUUGGGGAUGGACUCGCGGCUUAUCAGCUUGUUGGUGGGGUAGUGGCUUACCAAGGCUUUGACGGGUAGCCGGCCUGAGAGGGUGACCGGCCACAUUGGGACUGAGAUACGGCCCAGACUCCUACGGGAGGCAGCAGUGGGGAAUAUUGCACAAUGGGCGGAAGCCUGAUGCAGCAACGCCGCGUGCGGGAUGACGGCCUUCGGGUUGUAAACCGCUUUCGCCUGUGACGAAGCGUGAGUGACGGUAAUGGGUAAAGAAGCACCGGCUAACUACGUGCCAGCAGCCGCGGUGAUACGUAGGGUGCGAGCGUUGUCCGGAUUUAUUGGGCGUAAAGGGCUCGUAGGUGGUUGAUCGCGUCGGAAGUGUAAUCUUGGGGCUUAACCCUGAGCGUGCUUUCGAUACGGGUUGACUUGAGGAAGGUAGGGGAGAAUGGAAUUCCUGGUGGGGCGGUGGAAUGCGCAGAUAUCAGGAGGAACACCAGUGGCGAAGGCGGUUCUCUGGGCCUUUCCUGACGCUGAGGAGCGAAAGCGUGGGGAGCGAACAGGCUUAGAUACCCUGGUAGUCCACGCUGUAAACGGUGGGUACUAGGUGUGGGGUCCAUUCCACGGGUUCCGUGCCGUAGCUAACGCUUUAAGUACCCCGCCUGGGGAGUACGGCCGCAAGGCUAAAACUCAAAGGAAUUGACGGGGCCCCGCACAAGCGGCGGAGCAUGCGGAUUAAUUCGAUGCAACGCGUAGAACCUUACCUGGGUUUGACAUGGAUCGGGAGUGCUCAGAGAUGGGUGUGCCUCUUUUGGGGUCGGUUCACAGGUGGUGCAUGGCUGUCGUCAGCUCGUGUCGUGAGAUGUUGGGUUAAGUCCCGCAACGAGCGCAACCCUUGUUCACUGUUGCCAGCACGUUAUGGUGGGGACUCAGUGGAGACCGCCGGGGUCAACUCGGAGGAAGGUGGGGAUGACGUCAAGUCAUCAUGCCCCUUAUGUCCAGGGCUUCACGCAUGCUACAAUGGCUGGUACAGAGAGUGGCGAGCCUGUGAGGGUGAGCGAAUCUCGGAAAGCCGGUCUCAGUUCGGAUUGGGGUCUGCAACUCGACCUCAUGAAGUCGGAGUCGCUAGUAAUCGCAGAUCAGCAACGCUGCGGUGAAUACGUUCCCGGG